rnacentral:misc_RNA from 1 species
GAUGAAGAACGCAGCGAAAUGCGAUAAGUAAUGUGAAUUGCAGAAUUCCGUGAAUCAUCGAGUCUUUGAACGUACAUUGCGCCCCCUGGUAUUCCGGGGGGCAUGCCUGUCCGAGCGUCAUUGCUGCCCUCAAGCACGGCUUGUGUGUUGGGCCUCCGUCCUCCUCCCGGGGGACGGGCCCGAAAGGCAGCGGCGGCACCGCGUCCGGUCCUCGAGCGUAUGGGGCUUCGUCACCCGCUCUUGUAGGCCCGGCCGGCGCUUGCCGACACAUCAAUCUUUUUUCCAGGUUGACCUCGGAUCAGGUAGGGAUACCCGCUGAACUUAAGCAUAUCAAUAUGCGGAGGA